UAUAGAAUUAGAUGCUCAUUUACAACCUUUUUAGACCAGCACAGCCACAACUUCACAUACGAAAUACACAGCCUCUCUCCUCACUAGCAGCUGAACAUGUGAACAGUAGAAUCGCAUACUUGAAGAAGUAUCUUAAAGAUUGUCAUCCUACUCUUUCUGAAGAAUUCAAGAGAGAACGGUCCAAAAAAGAGAAAACAUCCAACGAGUGGACGUAAAGACAUGAUUCCAGAGGUCAAAGGAGAAUGGCAAGACACUGUCAAGCUGAUAGAAAGGAAAUCAGCGAAGGUGGCAUUUGAGCGGACCCGCCUCUUCAGCUGGCUGAUGAAGCUGAGGAAGUCAUCGAUACCUUGGUGUUUACGCUCGAUCAAAUCAGUAAAUUACAGUUAGGUGUGAAGCAUAAUAACUGUGCGCAUGCAAACAUCUAAAA